UACGUAGGGUGCGAGCGUUGUCCGGAAUUACUGGGCGUAAAGAGCUCGUAGGUGGUUUGUCGCGUUGUUCGUGAAAUCUCACGGCUUAACUGUGAGCGUGCGGGCGAUACGGGCAGACUGGAGUACUGCAGGGGAGACUGGAAUUCCUGGUGUAGCGGUGGAAUGCGCAGAUAUCAGGAAGAACACCAAUGGCGAAGGCAGCUCUCUGGGACGGUACUGACGCUGAGACGCGAAAGCGUGGGGAGCGAACAGG
rnacentral:rRNA from 1 species